rnacentral:rRNA from 1 species
CAAUAGCGUAUAUUUAAGUUGUUGCAGUUAAAAAGCUCGUAGUUGGAUUUCGGAUGGGACUUGCCGGUCCGUCGUUUCGAUGUGCACUGGCCAGUCCUAUCUUGUUGUCGGGGACUAGCUCCUGGGCUUCACUGUCCGGGACUAGGAGCCGACGAGGUUACUUUGAGUAAAUUAGAGUGUUCAAAGCAAGCCUACGCUCUGAAUACAUUAGCAUGGAAUAACACGAUAGGACUCUGGCUUAUCUUGUUGGUCUGUGAGACCAGAGUAAUGAUUAAGAGGGACAGUCGGGGGCAUUCGUAUUUCAUUGUCAGAGGUGAAAUUCUUGGAUUUAUGAAAGACGAACUUCUGCGAAAGCAUUUGUCAAGGAUGUUUNCAUUA